GGGAAAUUGCACCCUAGAGUUACAAAGCAAUUGUCUAGCUCAGCAGACGAAUGAGCGUGAAAUGGAGCAGAAAGCAGCUAGAGAAAAUUGGCCCAGGACGUUGCAGGGGAGAGCAGGGUGCACACGCGCGUGUCGGGCCCGGGGUGCGCCCGCUCCCGCGUCCAGACCUGCUGCCUCCCUCGCGGGCCUGCAGCUGGGCCCUGCCUGUGCUCCGCCUGGCGGUCUGUUGCUUGUCGCUACGUUUGCGUGUCCUCUUGUCCCAGAGGCCUGUGUCCCCGUAUCCCUGCCCAUGGAGCAGGUGAGCCGGGUGGCCGCUCAGGUCCUGAUUUCUGUGGUGUCCAGAUUCCAGGUGGGUCUCUUGGUCCCUGCCUGUCCUGUUUUUCUAAAUCUCUCCCGAAUUGUCCACGGCCCUAUGCUGCCUCUGCGGGGACACGAUGGCUCCUUCUGCUGGGUGCUCGCUGUGGACCUGGGACUUGAUUUCUGGGACCUGGUGAGGGCCUCAUGGGGACAGCCCAGCGAGUGGGUAGGAAGACUGGCUUGCUGUGAGGCCCGCCACAGCCUUUGCACCGCGCGGCACCUCUGGGCUGUCCAGCCUGCUUUUUCUCAGCAAAUUGCUUUCCCACUGUGCCCCCGACCCCCUGAUCCUCAGGUGGCAUCUUCUGAAGCCAUUUGCCUGGCGGGGGUGCUGGGUGUGCACCCUGUCAUGGCUCCCUGGGACUCUGUUACACGUGCAUCUCAGGCCCUCGGCAGCCAGAGGUGCAGCCUGAGGACCCCUGAGGCCUGGCGCCCCCUCAUCCCGCCCGGAUGGAGCUGGCUGGCAGCGAAUUCCUGAGGGACCUGGUCGGAGGAGGCUGGGUGAGGACAGCCACACCCGGUCCCCAGGGCAGGGCGGGGCCUUGCUUAUCUCUGUGUUCCCCGUCCUGAGCGUGUGCACACGCACACAUGCAUGCGCAGGCAUGUGACUACACACGCACACAUGCAUGCACAGGCGUGUGACUACACACACACACACGCACACAGGUGCACACACGGGCACGCACAAGCAUGUGUACCUGGGCACGCACAGCCACGCGUGCAUGCGCUCACACGCGCACGUACUCGUGCACGGGCCUGGCCCGGCUGGUGCUUCUGACAGUCUCGAGGCUCUUCCGUAGCAGGACUCAGGCCUGCUGGUGCCUCCGUGCACCCGGUGCCUCGGGCGCACCCGCUGGUGCUGGCGUUGGCCUGCUGCCCUGUGGAGGUGGGCGUGAGCCCUGGAGGUGGUGCAGGCUUCCUGCUGGAGCCGGUUCUGGCGUGGACUCUGAAGGAGAGGCCGGAUUGCAACAGGUGGGGGGAGGGGCCCCGGGGGAGGGUCAGCUGAGACAGAGGCCCAGAGGCCUGGCCCCGAGGCUGGUGUGGCUGGGGCUGGGAGAGGAGGUCCUGUGUGAGGGGGUUGGAGAGACCGGCGGCCAGCCGGGGCCACGGGGUCCGGUGUGGUGAUGUGCACCGUUGGAAUGGGGCCUCCAGCUCUGUGCAGAGGCUGGGCUGGAGGACGAAGGGUCCUUGGUGGGCUUGGAGCCCAAAGUGGCAGGUGCUCCUGUGAGUGGGACCUGGCUGGGUCACUCAGUGCGGCAGCAUGGGCUGGGGGCUGGGACUCCAGGUGGCUUCCUGGGAGGUCGGACUAGGCUGCUGGGACCCUGGGCUGGGGAGCGCUACCUUUCCUGAGUGCGG
ensembl:lncRNA